CCGCCCUUAGCUCAGCUGGAUAGAGUAGCGGACUUCGAAUCCGUUGGUCGCACGUUCGAAUCGUGCAGGGCGGGCCA
rnacentral:tRNA from 1 species